rnacentral:rRNA from 2 species
ACGGGAGGCAGCAGUGGGGGAUAUUGCGCAAUGGGGGCAACCCUGACGCAGCAACGCCGCGUGAAGGAAGACGGUUUUCGGAUUGUAAACUUCUUUAAGUGUGGAAGAAAUUGACGGUACACACAGAAUAAGCCACGGCUAACUACGUGCCAGCAGCCGCGGUAAUACGUAGGUGGCGAGCGUUGUCCGGAUUUACUGGGUGUAAAGGGCGUGUAGGCGGGAUUACAAGUCAGAUGUGAAAUACCGAGGCUUAACUUCGGGGCUGCAUUUGAAACUGUAGUUCUUGAGUGCCGGAGAGGAAAGCGGAAUUCCUAGUGUAGCGGUGAAAUGCGUAGAUAUUAGGAGGAACACCAGUGGCGAAGGCGGCUUUCUGGACGGUAACUGACGCUGAGGCGCGAAAGUGUGGGGAGCAAACAGGAUUAGAUACCCUGGUA